UUCAGGAUCUUCAUAAAUAUGAACGACUCGCGCCCCAAAUAAAGAGGGCAGAUUGUUAGUCGGUUGACCAAUCAACAGUCAGCAUGCUACACGUAACAAGCCAUGGCUGGCUUAUUGCCACGCAUCCAACGGUCACCAACACCAUGGAAGGUCCAACGACUGUCUCCCCGAGCGAUAUUUCCAGACAUUCAACCAAUUAUUGUAAAAUAAACGAACUAUGAUUAAU